GGCCAGACUCCUACGGGAGGCAGCAGUGGGGGAUAUUGCACAAUGGGGGAAACCCUGAUGCAGCGACGCCGCGCGAGUGAAGAAGUAUUUCGGUAUGUAAAGCUCUAUCAGCAGGGAAGAAGAUGACAGUACCUGAGUAAGAAGCCCCGGCUAACUACGUGCCAGCAGCCGCGGUAAUACGUAGGGGGCAAGCGUUAUCCGGAAUCACUGGGUGUAAAGGGAGCGUAGACGGCUGUGCAAGCCUGAAGUGAAAGGCGGGGGCCCAACCCCUGGACUGCUUUGGGAACUGUACGGCUGGAGUGCAGGAGAGGUAAGUGGAAUUCCUGGUGUAGCGGUGAAAUGCGUAGAUAUUAGGAGGAACACCAGUGGCGAAGGCGGCUUACUGGACUGUAACUGACGUUGAGGCUCGAAAGCGUGGGUAGCAAACAGGAUUAGAUACCCUAGUAUC
rnacentral:rRNA from 1 species